rnacentral:misc_RNA from 1 species
UUUAUCGUUUGAUCAAUUUUAGUCAAUAAAAUUCAGUCUUUAGCUUUGUAUUUUUGUCUCCCAUUUUUCAACAACAUUAACGAGAAAUAACAAUGCAUGGGUACCAUAUUUCAACAAAAUUAGCAAGUAAUAACAACGCUGUCCUGUCUUCUUGCAAUCUAAAAUUCUCAAGCAUAUCUUAAAUUAAAAAAAUGAUGAAAUAUUUACAUGACAUUGAAAGGCUAUUUAUCGAGUAUAAAAACAUUCUUUAUAGGAAGAGGUGCUAAAGAAACCCGUUACAUGCUAUAGAACUUUUAGAUCUC